rnacentral:rRNA from 1 species
AUUGAACGCUGGCGGCAUGCCUUACACAUGCAAGUCGAACGGUAACAGGUCUUUCGGGAUGCUGACGAGUGGCGAACGGGUGAGUAAUACAUCGGAACGUGCCUAGUAGUGGGGGAUAACUACUCGAAAGAGUGGCUAAUACCGCAUGAGAUCUAUGGAUGAAAGCAGGGGACCUUCGGGCCUUGUGCUACUAGAGCGGCCGAUGGCAGAUUAGGUAGUUGGUGGGAUAAAAGCUUACCAAGCCUACGAUCUGUAGCUGGUCUGAGAGGACGAUCAGCCACACUGGGACUGAGACACGGCCCAGACUCCUACGGGAGGCAGCAGUGGGGAAUUUUGGACAAUGGGGGAAACCCUGAUCCAGCAAUGCCGCGUGCAGGAUGAAGGCCUUCGGUUGUAAACUAGCUUUGUUACGGAACGAAAAGUACUUGGUUAAGUAACCUGGAGUCAUGACGGUACCGUAA